rnacentral:lncRNA from 1 species
GUACAUUUAAAAUAUAACCCCAUCUGAAACCCCCCACCAGCCAAUCAGCUAGGGAAAGGUCAGAGCCGAUGACACACCCUCCUUUGUUCAAAACCAAUGAGAGAGGAAGUGUGGCAUUUUGCCCGAGGGAAAAACUUACCCCUAGAACUGUUAAUCACGCAUCACUUAACUGUUGCCAAUGUGUUCACAACGGUACACCCUCUGUUGGGCUUUUUACCUCUACUACUCUCAUUUCUUGGUCUAUUUAGUAUGGAUAGUAGACAACAAUGGCUUACCAGACUGAAAAAUGAACUUAGCAACAGUCCUCUGGUCUCAAAUGUGGCUUUUGGAUUUAUCCUCAUGGGACUAGAGAAGCUGGUGGAGCUGGAGUUUGAGUGUCCUUGCAAUCCUAAAUGGAACGGACUGUUUUCAUCUGCCUUCUUCAUCAUUCCUGCUGUCAUGGCUUUCACGUUGAUGCUGAUCAUUCAAGGAUGCAGGUGCGAUACAUGGUGCCGGAAGACUGUGUCUUUUUCCAGUUUUGUUCCUGCAAUCGUCUGGCUGAUCUUGUUGUUCCUCGAUGGCCAGUACUUUGCUUGUGCAAUGACAGACUGGAAGGGCAGAUUUGUCAUAGUUGAUAAAGCAGCACCGCAGAAAUGGUGUGAGCCAACUAGUCAGGGAGAUGUCACACCGCAAGAACUAAUGCUCCGCUCACAGCAGCUAUUUGUUGUGUCUCAGGUUAUAGGUAUAUUUCUUCUCAUAAUCAUCUGUGUGGGACUCAUAGUGUAUGUGAUCAGAGAGAGCUGCCAGCAGGAGUCUGAGAUGCAGGAUGCAGAUGUAGCGGAGCUCACCGUGCUCAGGAUGAGCUCUCUGAGAACCAGGACGACGUGAGAGGACAGGCUCCUCCACCCCCACCCAUCCUCUCACCUGGCUGGCCUGCCCGCUGAGGCAGCUCUCAGAUGGUUCUGAUGGCUCUGAGGCCCUUGCCAUAGCCCAUGCCUUGUGUAGAGACUUUGUAAAUUACCUGAAUUGACAGCUUCGUUUGAAAGUACUCUUUCUACUUGUAAAUAAGGAUUUUGUGGGGGAUUUCUUUUACCAUUUUUUGGAUUUACCUUUUGCAUUAUCAAUGAACCCAUCAUUCAGAGAGUGAGUGCAUUUUAUGAAACUAAUGACAGAAAAGCCCACACAUGGUUGCAUGCUGCACCCAUGGAAUGUACAUGAGAGCAACAUGCGUGUAUACCAUGAUCAUACUUGUAUACCAUGAACAUACGUGUAUACCAUGUGCAGGCUUUUCUAUCAUUAUCAUCAACCACAUUUGGCCCAGCAACAGUAGGGAUCCACUUACACACUCUCAUGUCAUGGACCUGCCUUCAAUGAAAUAUGUGUUUAUGCAGUCAUGCAGACAAUUUUAUACUAACUGGUUGAGCCAGUUCUAAUGUGUUGCCUCAUGAUGUCAGUACUUCAUGUAUUUUUUCUACAUACGCGUUACGUGAAUUAAGUUAUCAAUGUUCUUAAACCGAACUUCAAUUUAACUACUCAGUUUGUAUACCACAAGGUGUAAGGUUCCGGUUGAAAGAAACAGACUGAGACCCAGCUAACAAUGGUCAGAACGUUUAUUUACGAGAGCUCUGAAUAUCAUACAAUGUACACAGCCUUUUAUACCUAACAUUUGGUCAUACAAUAUGUCAUACCCUUUACAAAUGCCCCCUCCUCUUCUUUAACACUGUCAAUGCUUAUUUCCAAGUCUUCUCCAUCACAUACAUUGCUUAUCAUAUCCUGCCUCAUGUUACAUAAUCUACUGCAAGCCUAACGGUUUCUCCCCUCCUGUUAUCAGUUUCACAGUAGUCACAAGUUGUCUGCUGUCUGUUAACAGUUCCCCUUUUUCUUGAACGUCUUGCUUACAUUGCUAAAUCAUUAAGCUUCAACUUUUCCUACACACACACAUUAGUACAUUCAUCUUAUAAUCACUCGGUUAUACAUUUUCACGGUGAAAUCAUUUAGUCAAACCUUUAAUCAUAUAAAUUCCAUUAACAAUAUGACAUAUUUUGACUCAUUUCAGACCCAGUUCUAGGUCAAAUAGAAUGUACAGUACCAGUCAAAAGUUUGGACACACCUGCUCAUUCCAUGGUUUUUCUUAAUUUUUACUAUUUUCUACAUUGUAAAAUAAUAGUGAAGAUAUCAAAAUGAUUAAAUAACACAUAUGGAAUCAUGUAGUAACCAAAAAACUGUUAAACAAAUCAAAAUAUAUUCAAAAUAUAAGUAGCCACCGUUUGCCUUGAUGACAGAUUUGCACACUCUUGGCAUUCUCUCAACCAGUUUCAUGAGGUAGUCACCUGGAAUGCAUUUCAAUUAACAGGUGUGCCUUGUUUAAAGUUCAUUUGUGGAAUUUCUUUCCUCCUUAAUGCAUUUGAGCCAGUCAGUUGUGUUUUGACAAGGUAGGGGUGGUAUACAUAAGACAGCCCUAUUAUGGCAAGAACAGCUCAAAAAGGCAAAGAGAAACAACAGUCCAUCAUUACUUUAACAGAUGAAGGUCAGUCAAUCCGGAAAAUUUCAAGAACUUUGAAAGUUUCUUCAAGUGCAGUCGCAAAAACCAUCAAGUGCUAAGAUGAAACUGGCUCUCAUGAGGAUCGCCACAUGAAAGGAAGACCCAGAGUUACCUCUGCUGCAGAGGAUAAGUUCAUUAGAGUUACCAGCCUCAGAAAUUGCAGCCCAAAUAAAUGGUUCACAGAGUUCAAGUAACAGACACAUCUCAACAUCAACUGUUCAGAGGAGACUGACUGCUGGAAAUCUGUCCUUUGGUCUGAUGAGUCCAAAUUUGAGAUUUUUGGUUCCAACCACCAUGUCUUUGUGAGAUGCAGAGUGGGUGAACGGAUGAUCUCAGCAUGUGUGGUUCCCACCGUAAGGCAUGGAGGAAGAGGUGUGAUGGUGUGGGGGUGCUUUGCUGGUGACACUGUCUGUGAUUUAUUUAGAAUUCAAGGCACACUUAACCAGCAUGGCUAUCACAACAUUCUGCAGCGAUACGCCAUCCCAUUGGUUUGUGCUAAGUGGGAAUAUAAUUUGUUUUUCAACAGGACAAUGACCCAACACACCUCCAGACUGUGUAAGGGCUAUUUGACAAAGAAGGAGAGUGAUGGAGUGCUGCAUCAGAUGACCUGGCCUCCACAAUCACCCGACCUCAACCCAAUUGAGAUGGUUUGGGAUGAGUUGGACCGCAGAGUGAAGCAAAAGCAGCCAACAAGUGCUUAGCAUAUGUGGGAACUCCUUAAAGACUGUUGGAAAAGCAUUCCAGAUGGAGCUGGUUGAGAGAAUGCCAAGGGUGUGCAAAGCUGUCAUCAAGGCAAAGGGUGGCUACUUUGAAUAAUCUAAAAUGUAUUUUGUUUCGUUUAACACUUUUUGGUUGCUACAUGAUUCCAUAUGUGUUAUUUCAUAGUUUUGAUGUCUUCGCUAUUAUUCUACAAUGUAGAAAAUAGUAAAAAAUAAAGAAAAACCCUUGAAUGAGUAGGUGUAUCCAAAAUUGUGUCUGGUACUGUAUCUGACGGCCAUAUUGCAGCUGGGCUGGCUACGCUGCACUUCACUUCCUAUGGUUUCCCAUUCUGGCCAUCUGCAGGUAUAUACUAAAGGACUGGUCUUUACCAUGGCUGGGAGGUGUACCUCUCUGGACUGGCCUUCUCAUUCUGUUGUGAGGCACAUCCCAUCACUCCCAGACCACUGACUUCCAGGCCCAAACCCAGGCCCAGCUAAACUACAUACAGUAAUCCUUUUUCUCUGAAUAAUGUCAUCUCUCAUACUAAGCAGAAUAUGUAUAUGUAGCACUGUUGAAAAGGAGUCAUGUUAUGUGUUUUCUCAAAUGUAACAAUGGAUAUUAGGUUUAACCAGGGACAAAUUAAAAUGUAACAACUGGUCUGUCUGUACAAUGCAUUUGUUAUUAAAUAAAUUAUUUAUUUCAUGAAAAAAGCUCAGGCUUUUGUACAGUACUGUAACACGUGCAGAAUACAAUAUUAUUACUUUUGCUUGACUAUCAAAACAGAAGUUAUGCCAUAAUAUAUAUGAUCAAAUAUAAUACAUGUGAAAUGUUUUUGGCUGUAGAUGUAAUAAAACAACGCUAGUAUCCAUCACUGUCAAGUAGGCAACUAUCCAUUACGCUAAUAAGUGGUAUCAAUCUCUCUUGCCAGUAAAUCAUGUAUUUACAUUUUUGCUUUCUCAAUUAAAUUAUUAUUAUUAUUAUUUUUUAUUUCACCUUUAUUUAACCAGGUAGGCUAGUUGAGAACAAGUUCUCAUUUACAACUGCGACCUGGCCAAGAUAAAGCAAAGCAAUUCGACACAUACAACAAC